AUGUCUGUAGGUAUGUUGACUGGUCGUCCCGAAGAGGAGAUGUCCGGAUUCUUAGGAGAUCUGCUAAAAGAGUUGUCACAACUGCACGAGCGAGUUCGGCAGGCGAUGCAGGGUGUUGCCAAGGCUUUAUGGCCAUCCGCCUCCCUUCUAGAAAGUAUGGAGGAGCUUGUACAGCUAUUUCAGGUAGCACGACAGUGUUUCCGACUAUGGAAGAUAUUGGCAUGUCGAGAAGGUGCACGAGAGGCCUGGGCCAUGGUAAAAACACGGUAUACCAAGCUUGAUCCGAAUCAUAUGGCCCUGGUUGGACCUUUAGGGUCAGAUGGGAAAGAAAUUCACGUUAGUCUAGUAUAUGACCAAGUGAAAUUACCCUCAAUAUAUUCUCAGCAGGAUUGUAAGCUGGACAACCUGUUGGACGACAUAGAAGAGGAAGUUUCUGAGUCCAAUUGA
rnacentral:rRNA from 1 species